rnacentral:rRNA from 1 species
CCCUUAGAUGUUCGGGGCCGCACGCGCGCUACACUGAAGGAAUCAGCACGUCUUUCUCCUUGUCCGAAAGGACUGGGUAACCCGCUGAACCUCCUUCGUGCCAGGGAUUGGGGCUUGUAAUUCUUCCCCAUGAACGAGGAAUUCCCAGUAAGCGCGAGUCAUAAGCUCGCGUUGAUUACGUCCCUGCCCUUUGUACACACCGCCCGUCGCUACUACCGAUUGGAUGGUUUAGUGAGAUCCUCGGAUUGGUCCCGGAGCGGCCUCUGGUCGUGCCGGAGUGCCGAAAAGAAUGUCGAACUUGAUCAUCUAGAGGAAGUAAAAGUCGUAACA